UGGGGUAUAUUGCACAAUGGGCGAAAGCCUGAUGCAGCGACGCCGCGUGGGGGAUGAAGGCCUUCGGGUUGUAAACUUCUUUUGCUCUGAACAAGGCGCACCAUGGGGUGUGUUGAGUGUAGGGGUUGAUUAGCGCCGGCUAACUACGUGCCAGCAGCCGCGGUAAUCGGUAGGCCGCGGGGGUUGUCCGGAAUUAUUGGGCGUAAAGGGCUGGUAGGUGGCUGGUUGCGUCAGGCGUGAGAGCUCAUGGAUUAACUGUGGGUUUGCGGUGGGUACGGGCUGGCUUGAGUGCAGUAGGGGAAGCUGGAAUUCCUGGUGUAGCGGUGGAAUGCGCAGAUAUCAGGAGGAAUACCGGUGGCGAAGGCGGGUCUCUGGGCUGUUACUGACACUGAGGAGCGAAAGCAUGGGGAGCGAGCAGG
rnacentral:rRNA from 1 species